CGACGUCGCCGGCGCAAGGCGGGCACCCAGGCGCGCGCCUGCCUCGCCCCGCCCCCGACGUUCCUUGCGGGACCGCUCAGCGCGCGCCACACACCCGGGCAACCCUCCGCUAGCCACCUAGCUUCUCUAUUUUUCUCUGGUUGGUUGCUUCUUUUGACCUUCGUUUGUCCUUCCAACUCCAAGAAGGCAACUUCUGUAAAAGGCAACAAGGCAUUUCUGUAGAAGUUGGGUGGCACAUUAAUCCCUGGUGUAACUCCAUUGAGGCCUCAGGAGCGUAGGAGAUGCUGUUGUGACAACCCCAGCACAGUAUGGUACAUAUGCUCUGUACGUGCGCACGUCUGCAGGCCACUGACUAAAAAGUCUUGUUUUUUUUGUUUGUUUGUUUGUUUUGCUUUUUUGAAUGAGAAACCUCCUGGGAAUAAAUAAAGAAAAUAGCUCCCUGUUUUAUAAAUAUGAACCAGGCUGUAUUUUAUGUCUUCUACUUGUGCCCUUCCUUUCCUGGGGGCUGGGGAGAGCUGAGGAAUGCUCAGAAUUGUCAGAGCCAUCACUGAAGAAGGGUGCAGAGAUGCAUUCUGGGAUUGCACUGAGCGGGCCAGUUGUACUAAUGCUGUGACUAGGCCAGCAGUCAUCAGCUAUACUGGGAGUGCACCAGCAAAAAUGAAUACAGAUUCAUGCAGAAAUAGAUCCUCUGGCCCCAUCCUUUAGAUACUCAUGCAUAGAGAACCUCUGCAGAGCCAGUGUUUGUAAAGCAGCCCCCCAAAUCCAGCCCCAUCACAUUGCCCCUGCACUGUGGAACUGCACCAGGUUCUUUUGCCAGGGACACUGCUGCAGAGGCUGGGCCUGGUUUUGCCUCAAUAAUGUUUUAUUUCACAAAGGAAAAGAUCACCAUAGCAGAGCUUCACUAUAACAAGAGAUGGCCUACCUGGAAAAUAGUCUGCUCCUCAUCCCCUGCUAACUGCAGCAGGAGUCUUUUUUGUUUGUUCUUGGGACAGUGAGAAUGGGGAGGGGAAUGAAUCUGGAGAGCCAUAUAUUCUCUCCAAGCCUGGAGCUAUUAUUGCCAGACAGGGAGCCAAGGAUUUUUCCUUAAUUUUGUGGCAAUAGAAUCUUCUAUUUUCUUUACUCCCACCUCCUUUGCAAAGCCAGAGAAUAGGAGGGGGAGAUAAUUGCCUCGGAAUGCAGCACUUAACCCCUCUGAAAAGUGAUAAUUGCUGCAUUCCAAAGGGAUUAGCAUAGUGGGAUCCAUUUAAACCUUCUCAGCACAAGGGAAAAUUUGCAGAGGUUUCCCGCAGUUGCUAAGAGACCAGCUCAGUUCCACCAGUGUUAGCAACCCUGUGUGAGCCCUAGUGUUCCAGCCACUGGAGUUUUAUGCACCAGAGCCCCGGCCAUGUGAGCUCUGUGUGGAGCCCCAUUGAUUUCAGUCCUUCAGUGCUGGAGUCUACCUACAUUGCAGGAUUGGGGACUAUGUCAUCUAGGAGCUCUUCUCAGAGCAGGUCUAAAUGACACUGUGUGUGACCAUCCUACAUUAGGACUUCCAACAUUGCAACAGUGAACAUUUUUUGCAACAUUUUUUUGUCUCUAGUGUAGACAACACUUAAGUGGAUUUUCAUUAUAACCAACUUCACUGUAAGGGAAUUGCUGUGUAUUUGAUUAUUGUAAAUGUGCCCAGGAAAUGUUUGGCAUGUUUUGAAAACAUCUAUAAACAAAAGAGCCCUGUGAUUGUAUUCAUGUAGGGGAGAUGGAUAUGACUGAUGGGCUACCUUAAUUUUAGUGUGCAGGAGAGGGAACAUAUGGCAGACAUUUGAUAUUAUUUCAGCUGGUUUUCCAGGUAUCUGAUCUUUUACUGUCAAUAUGAACAGUACUUCUGUGAUUUAUCUGAUACAUAGCUAAUGCUGUAAAAUCUGAAU